UACGAAGGGGCUAGCGUUGCUCGGAAUCACUGGGCGUAAAGCGCACGUAGGCGGAUUGCUAAGUCAGGGUGAAAUCCUGGAGCUCAACUCCAGAACUGCCCUUGAUACUGGCGGUCUCGAGUCCGGGAGAGGUGAGUGGAACUGCGAGUGUAGAGGUGAAAUUCGUAGAUAUUCGCAAGAACACCAGUGGCGAAGGCGGCUCACUGGCCCGGUACUGACGCUGAGGUGCGAAAGCGUGGGGAGCAAACAGG
rnacentral:rRNA from 1 species